rnacentral:tRNA from 1 species
GUUCUUGUAGUUGAAUAACAACAAUGGUUUUUCAUAUCAUGAGUCACGAAUUAUUCGUGCAAGAAUU